rfam:Gossypium hirsutum cultivar TM-1 chromosome 9, whole genome shotgun sequence
AUUCCAUGAUGAGGGCACUUCCAUAAUAAUUCUUUAAAUCUUUCCCAUACCUCAUACAAAGACUUGUCAUUCAUCUAUUGGAAGGUAGUAAUCUCAUUCCUCAACU